CAGUCGCGCGGGAAUACGAGGGGAGCUAGCGUUAUUCGGAAUUACUGGGCGUAAAGCGCACGUAGGCGGCUUUGUAAGUUAGAGGUGAAAGCCCAGAGCUCAACUCUGGAAUUGCCUUUAAGACUGCAUCGCUUGAAUCCAGGAGAGGUGAGUGGAAUUCCGAGUGUAGAGGUGAAAUUCGUAGAUAUUCGGAAGAACACCAGUGGCGAAGGCGGCUCACUGGACUGGUAUUGACGCUGAGGUGCGAAAGCGUGGGGAGCAAACAGGAUUAGAUACCCCAGUAGUCCCUGUCUCUUAUACA
rnacentral:rRNA from 1 species